rnacentral:rRNA from 1 species
AUGUCCAAGUGGAAGCCUCAACUUCAUGCGAAGGUGAACCACAAGUUGACUUGGAGGUAUCCACAAGUGGUACACAUCAAGACGAUGGAAACGAGGAUGUACAACAAGAUGAACCACGACGACCUCCUUCUCCACCACCACGAGAGAACAACAACGACAACAACAACGAAGAAAGACAAGAGGAAGAACAAAACAAUGAAGAGGAUGUUCCACCCCGACCCAAACAAAAGCUCUCAUGAGUUCGAGCAACAGUCUCAAGAUAUCAUCCCAUCGAACAGAUCUAUGAUUAUAUUCAAACCGGGAGAAUUACUCGCUCUAAAACUUGUUGGGCUACCUUUUGUGAACAUUACUCAUUCAUUUCUAGCAUUGAACCUAUGA